rnacentral:lncRNA from 1 species
AGAGCUCUUUGAUCUUGUCACUGCUCAUUCCUCAGAGGCCCUGAGCCAACCUGUGGGUGGUGGGAAUUAUUUUUGUGCAAGCUAAGAAAGAGUGGAGAAGGGAUAUGGUUCUACUGUGGGUGACAUUAGGAAAGGAAAGAGAUGAUUCCUUCCCUGUGAGUGUGUGAGAUCUUGGGUGUGGAUAGUUGUGUAAGACUGCUGCUGAUGCAUGGAAAUGGGCCAUCCUCUGUUAAUUCUGCAUGAAAAUGCUUUCCAAUUUGGGGAGAUAUUGUAUACUGUGCUGGUUAGGUUACAGGUCAAACUCAGCAUUCAACGGAACCAUUUGCGUGAGAAGAAAUAUCAGAAGCAGUCGAGAAACCAGGAAGUGGGUGAGUCCUCUAGAGAUGAAGAGACAUUCUGCUGGAUGACUUUUUAAAAUGUUUUCUUCAAAGUCGUCUGCUUCACUAACAAUGGUUUUUGUCUUAGAAGUCUCCCUUUGAUUUUAUAAACUGACACAUCUGCUUCUUCCAGCUUACAGAACUCUGAAGGUCGUGCCAAGAUUCCUUGGGAGAAUAUGAAGAAAAUGCAAGCCAUACUUGUUGGUGAUAAGAG